rnacentral:rRNA from 1 species
UUGACCUCAAGUCGGGUGGGACUACCC